GGAAGGGCUGUGAAUCAUGGGUAGAAUGUCUGCUUUGCAAGCAGAAGGCCUCAGGUUCAAUCCUUGGCCUUGCCA